rnacentral:lncRNA from 1 species
AUGGUGGGGUGUAAGAUUAAUACCAUAAAAUAACAGGCCUCACUUAGCACAGUUGGCUAAGAGUUUAAUAGUUUGUACCCAAGAUUUUAAGUUUGAAACCUAGUUACUUAAUUGACAUUUAUAACUGAGUUCAUUUCUAAAAAAUAAAUUGAACGAAGCGGAUAGCUUGCUCUAAUACCACUUGUUCAUUGUAAGCGGUAACCGAUAAUUCCAAAAGCUCGACAUAUGCUG